CUUGACCAUCAACGAUGGACUGAGGAGUUUCCAUGUGGAUGUACAGUCCUCAAUAUAAGAAGCUUUCAACAGUCAUUCCUGUAGCUGGAAUCCCCAAAUCUUCACUUCAUUGACUCUGCAGCAUAACCAGUGGUGGCGCUGAGCUGUGCUAGCAGAAGGGGGCGGUACUUUCCCUCUGGACCCUGACUUGGGAGCCAAGUGAAUGAGACUCCAGACUCCAGCGCAGUCACUAAGGAGAAGCAGCUGUGGCAGCGGAGCAGCUGUGCGCCUUUCUUUCUGCCCAGAGUCCUGUUUUCCAUUACAUGGAAAGAAGCCAAGACCAUCUUUAGCCAGUGAAGGACUUAUGUAGCACUUCUUCUU